GAUGAACGCUGACAGAAUGCUUAACACAUGCAAGUCAACUUGAAUGUGGGUUUUUAACUUAGGUUUGGGUGGCGGACGGGUGAGUAACGCGUAAAGAACUUGCCUCACAGCUAGGGACAACAUUUGGAAACGAAUGCUAAUACCUAAUAUUAUGAUAAUAGGGCAUCCUAUAAUUAUGAAAGCUAUAAGCGCUGUGAGAGAGCUUUGCGUCCCAUUAGCUAGUUGGAGAGGUAACGGCUCACCAAGGCGAUGAUGGGUAGCCGGCCUGAGAGGGUGAUCGGCCACAAGGGAACUGAGACACGGCCCUUACUCCUACGGGAGGCAGAAGUGGGGAAUAUUGGACAAUGGACCAAGAGUCUGAUCCAGCAAUUCUGUGUGCACGAUGAAGUUUUUCGGAAUGUAAAGUGCUUUCAGUUGGGAAGAAAGAAAUGACGGUACCAACAGAAGAAGUGACGGCUAAAUACGUG
rnacentral:rRNA from 1 species